GCGGAAACCGGCGCACGGGUGCGUAACGCGUAUGCAACCUACCUUUCACAGGGGGAUAGCCCGAAGAAAUUUGGAUUAAUACCCCAUAAUAUUGUUGGAUGGCAUCAUCUGAUAAUUAAAACUGUGGUGGUGAAAGAUGGGCAUGCGUCCUAUUAGCUAGUUGGAGUGGUAACGGCACCCCAAGGCUACGAUAGGUAGGGGUCCUGAGAGGGAGAUCCCCCACACUGGUACUGAGACAGGGACCAGACUCC
rnacentral:rRNA from 1 species